rnacentral:rRNA from 1 species
AUUGAACGCUGGCGGCAGGCCUAACACAUGCAAGUCGAACGAGUGGCGGACGGGUGAGUAAUGUCUGGGAAACUGCCUGAUGGAGGGGGAUAACUACUGGCAACGGUAGCUAAUACCGCAUACCAUCGGAUGUGCCCAGAUGGGAUUAGCUAGUAGGUGGGGUAACGGCUCACCUAGGCGACGAUCCCUAGCUGGUAUGAGAGGAUGACUAGCCACACUGGAACUGAGAACCGGUCCAGACUCCUACGGGAGGCAGCAGUGGGGAAUAUUGCACAAUGGGCGCAAGCCUGAUGCAGCCAUGCCGCGUGUAUGAAGAAGGCCUUCGGGUUGUAAAGUACUUUCAGCGAGGAGGCGUUACGCGCAGAAGAAGUACCGGCUAACUCCGUGCCAGCAGCCACGGUAAUUC